GGGAGCCGCAGGGAAACCGAGUCUUAACUGGGCGUUAAGUUGCAGGGUAUAGACCCGAAACCCGGUGAUCUAGCCAUGGGCAGGUUGAAGGUUGGGUAACACUAACUGGAGGACCGAACCGACUAAUGUUGAAAAAUUAGCGGAUGACUUGUGGCUGGGGGUGAAAGGCCAAUCAAACCGGGAGAUAGCUGGUUCUCCCCGAAAGCUAUUUAGGUAGCGCCUCGUGAACUCAUCUUCGGGGGUAGAGCACUGUUUCGGCUAGGGGGUCAUCCCGACUUACCAACCGAUGCAAACUACGAAUACCGAAGAAUGUUAUCACGGGAGACACACGGCGGGUGCUAACGUCCGUCGUGAAGAGGGAAACAACCCAGACCGCCAGCUAAGGUCCCA
rnacentral:rRNA from 1 species